GGGAUUAGAGGACGGAACGGGCAGCCGUCACCCCUCGAAAGAGGUUAGGACAUGUGGGAAUGUCGCCCCACCUAAUUCC
ncrna:unclassified sequences skipping-rope RNA